UCGUGUGACUCUCUCUCUCUCUCUCUUUCCCCCCCUCUCUUUCUCUCUCUUACCUCUACUCUCCUCCUUUCGUGCCAUCUCUCUCGUUUUGUCUCCAUCGCCUUCGGGUACUGGAGCAUCGUAGCCAUCGCACAUAAGCACCACCGUCGCACAUGAGUACCACAGUUGAUCCACCGUUAGAGCAUUACUCCAUGUAUGUCCUCUCUAGUUUGCCCUCUAUUUGUCUCUCUUCCCUUAAUUUCAUCCUCUAGGGUUUUCGAUAAUGUUGCUAUUUGGAUAAAGAGAAAGAAACAGAGAGGACAGAGAGAGAAAGAGAGAGGCUAGCAGAGAGCAGAAGACGAAACGACAAUGGCUUCUUUGAUCAAUAGGUCUUUGACUUUUAUUUACAACUCCAAAUCAACGAUGUGCAUCGAAACUCAAUUUUCGAGUCCGUUUCACAUUGGGUUCAUUUCUCUGAGCCUCAUCAAUUUCGGGAAGGUCUCUUCUUUAGUAGUCUGCAAAGUUGUGUCUGUGAAGCCCCAAACUGACAUUGAAGGCCUCAACAUUGCCGAUGAUGUCUCUUAGGUGACAGCUUAUUGGGAAAACUCCAAUGGUGUAUUUGAAUAAUACUGUAAAGGGGUCUGUUGCAAACAUAGCUGCCAAGCUUGAGAUCAUGAAGCCAUGUUGCAGUGUCAAGGACAGGAUUGGACACAGUAUGAUAAUCGAUGCUGAGCAGAGAGGCCUUAUAACACCAGGGAAGACAAGAGAGCUGUGGGUUUUUUUGAUUUUCUUCUACAAUGGGGUGAUCAGUGUUACUCCUUUCAAUUUUUGUUGCUGUGGCUUUGUUAAGUGUUUUUGUUGUGAAAGCAGAGAAUGCUUAUAGAUACUUCACAUGGACUGUCACUUAUGGAACAGCUUCUCCUCUCGCUGUCGCUCAACAGGUUAUCCUUAUCAAUGGUCAAUUUUUUUAACUCGACAACCCUUUUCUCUUGACAUGGCAA